UGCAAGUCGAACGGCAGCACGGGAGCUUGCUCCUGGUGGCGAGUGGCGGACGGGUGAGUAACACGUAGGAAUCUGCCUGGUAAUGGGGGAUAACCCGGGGAAACUCGGGCUAAUACCGCAUACGCUCUACGGAGGAAAGCGGGGGAUCUUCGGGCCUCGCGUUAUCAGAUGAGCCUGCGUCCGAUUAGCUAGUUGGUGGGGUAAAGGCCCACCAAGGCGACGAUCGGUAGCUGGUCUGAGAGGACGAUCAGCCACACUGGAACUGAGACACGGUCCAGACUCCUACGGGAGGCAGCAGUGGGGAAUAUUGGACAAUGGGCGCAAGCCUGAUCCAGCAAUGCCGCGUGUGUGAAGAAGGCCUGCGGGUUGUAAAGCACUUUAAGCAGGAAAGAAGGUUUCAAGGCUAAUAUCCUUGGAAAUUGACGUUACCUGCAGAAUAAGCACCGGCUAACUCCGUGCCAGCAGCCGCGGUAAUACGGAGGGUGCGAGCGUUAAUCGGAAUUACUGGGCGUAAAGCGCGCGUAGGCGGUUGGCUAAGUCUGCUGUGAAAGCCCUGGGCUUAACCUGGGAACUGCAGUGGAUACUGGUCGGCUAGAGUAUGGUAGAGGAGAGUGGAAUUUCCGGUGUAGCAAUGAAAUGCGUAGAGAUCGGAAGGAACACCAGUGGCGAAGGCGGCUCUCUGGACCAAUACUGACGCUGA
rnacentral:rRNA from 1 species